AUGCGUGUCAUCUUUCUCUGUAGGAUUUUGAGACCCUUGUCAACUUUGGAAUUUGUCACACUGCCUAGGAUGCGGUCUGGUGAGGCUUGGGUAUUCUCAGUGAUCAAUAACUUGUUAUUACAUAAUGAACAAACCAAGGGGUGUGGAGAUGGAUCAGAAACUGGAGUAGAAUCUCAAGAUGUCAGGUCUGGAAGAGGCUUUCAAGAGUUUGGAUCUUCUACCUGGAAAAGAAGAGGAGAGGCAAGUUGAGAAUUGCUGAUGCCAGACUUCGAUUUGAAGAUGGAGAUCCUGACUCUGUUAGAAUCCUUUUGUUCACCAGAUUGAUAGAAUUAAAAUUCCUUUUCUCAUCAUAGAUUUGGUGAGGAAAAAGAAUCCAGUGAUGAUAUCUAUCCAAUGACGAUACACGGAAGCAUUUGGGCUGAUACUUCUCUUCUUGUUCCAAGAAUUGUGUAUAACUGCCAGUUACUUCUGAAGACACUGUUAACAAAGUUUCAAGUGAUCUCAGAGGUGACUCUGCUAGAACUUGGGUGAUCAUCCCAUGUGAUAGGAUCAGUCCCUGGUUAAAGUCACCUGUUGGCUUUAUCCAGAAGCUGUUUUUUGAAAGCCAUGCUGUUUUCUGUUGUAUUAAGGGGCUCUGCACAGCCAGGAGGAGGCUAGACCCAGCAUUAUCACUUGUGUGAAUUAUACCCUCUGUCCUCAUCUGUGAAAUGGGGCAGUGAUACCUACAUGACCACCUGGAAGGAGUGGUUGCCAGUCUCCGAGAUCACCCUUGAGGAGCAGCUUUACAAAGCAUCAAGGGCCAAUUAAGAAACAACCUAAAUCAGGAAUCUGUGGACCACAGCAGGCCGUAAACUGUGGAAACUCAAGACAUCAGAUGCCCAGCCAUAGGUGGCAGCUGGUGAUGUUUCCUCACAGCCCUGGGUUCUCACAGCUCUGGUGUGAGUAGAGUUAGUGCUGGUGCUGUCGUGUUUGAGAGUCAACACAUCCCUAUACUGCAUCAGCCACAAAGAGAGGCAUUUAGGUUGGACCAUUCCACAAUAUUUAUAGAGCACCUCCUAGGAGCAGGGCAUUGUUCUGUUUUCUGCCAACACCAGAACAAAUAGAGAUUAUUUCUGUUCAUGGGGGCUUAUAGUGAGGGAGAGAAAGACAUAAAAAAACCCCAAUGGUAACAGCAAAUAACCCCACACUAAUAAAUAGGUGACUAAGAGCA
rnacentral:lncRNA from 12 species